rnacentral:rRNA from 1 species
GAUGAACGCUGGCGGCGUGCCUAAUACAUGCAAGUCGAGCGAACAGACGAGGAGCUUGCUCCUCUCGCGUUAGCGGCGGACGGGUGAGUAACGCGUGGAUAACCUACCUGUAAGACUGGGAUAACUUCUGGAAACGGUAGCUAAUACCGGAUAAUAUAUUGAAUCGCAUGAUUCCAUAGUAAAAGACGGAAUUGCAGUAACUUCAGAAUGGAUCCCCUCCUCUUUGGCUAUUUGGGAAGGUAACGCCUUACAAAGGGAACGAAGCGUAGCCGACCGGAGAGGGUGAUCGGCCACACUGGAACUGAGACACGGCCCAGACUCCUACGGGAGGAGGCAUUAGGGAUUCUUCCGCAAGGGGCGAAAGCUUGACGGACCAACGCCGCGUGAUUGAUGAAGGUUUCCGGACCGUAAAACUCUGUUAUUAGGGAAGAACAAAUGUGUAAGUAACUAUGCACGUCUUGACGGUACCUAAUCAGAAAGCCACGGCUAACUACGUG